CGGCAAACGGGUGCGGAACACGUACGCAAUCUACCCAAAAUUGGUGAAUAGCCCUCCGAAAGGAUGAUUAAUACACCGUAACUUAUAGCGAUGGCAUCAUCAUUAUAAUAUAGCUCCGGCGGUUUUGGAUGAGCGUGCGCCUGAUUAGGUAGUUGGUAGGGUAACGGCCUACCAAGCCAGCGAUCAGUAACUGGUGUGAGAGCACGACCAGUCACACGGGCACUGAGACACGGGCCCGACUCCUACGGGAGGCAGCAGUAAGGAAUAUUGGUCAAUGGACGCAAGUCUGAACCAGCCAUGCCGCGUGAAGGAUGAAGGUCCUCGGAUUGUAAACUUCUUUUAUAUGGGACGAAACCCUCUUAUUCUUAAGAGAUUGACGGUACCAUACGAAUAAGCACCGGCUAACUCCGUGCCAGCAGCCGCGGUAAUACGGAGGGUGCAAGCGUUAUCCGGAUUCACUGGGUUUAAAGGGUGCGUAGGUGGGUCUGUAAGUCCGUGGUGAAAUCUCCAAGCUUAACUUGGAAACUGCCAUGGAUACUAUAGGUCUUGAAUACCGUGGAGGUGAGCGGAAUAUGUCAUGUAGCGGUGAAAUGCUUAGAUAUGACAUAGAACACCAAUUGCGAAGGCAGCUCACUACACGAAUAUUGACACUGAGGCACGAAAGCGUGGGGAUCAAACAGGAUUAGAUACCCUGGUAGUCCACGCCCUAAACUAUGGAUACU
rnacentral:rRNA from 1 species